UGUCUUGUAAUUGGAAUGAUGGGAAUUUAAACCUCUUCCAGAGUAUCAAUUGGAGGGCAAGUCUGGUGCCAGCAGCCGCGGUAAUUCCAGCUCCAAUAGCGUAUAUUAAAAUUGUUGCAGUUAAAAAGCUCGUAGUUGAAUUUCUGCUGCAUUGCUUUUGCUCCUUUACGAGUCUUUGCAUUGUGGCUUAUUUCGGACUUUGUUUUACAAUGUCCGGAUGUUUACUUUGAGAAAAUUAGAGUGCUCAAAGCAGGCUUUCGCCUUGAAUAGUUUAGCAUGGAAUAAUAAAGUAGGACUUUGGUUCUAUUUUGUUGGUUUUAGGUACCAAAGUAAUGGUUAAUAGGAACAGUUGGGGGCAUUCGUAUUUAACUGUCAGAGGUGAAAUUCUUAGAUUUGUUAAAGACGAACUACUGCGAAAGCAUUUGCCAAGGAUGUUUUCAUUAAUCAAGAACGAAAGUUAGGGGAUCGAAGACGAUCAGAUACCGUCGUAGUCCUACCAUAAA
rnacentral:rRNA from 1 species